AUGACUAACAUGUAUAACAUGCCCUUUGCACCAUUCAUUGGAAUUAAUCGGCAUGGACAAUCAUUCAUGUUGGGAUGCGGGUUUGUGAGGCAAGAAUUGGCUACAAGCUUUGAUUGGUUGUUUGGGACCUUUCUUGAAGCAAUGCAUGGUCUAGCACCUACUAACAUCAUAACCGACCAAGACAUCGCGAUGGCACAGUCAAUUAAAAGGAUGUUCCCAACAAGUGUCCACCGUUGUUGCUAUUGGCAUAUAAUGAAAAAAGCUCAAGAAAAGCUUGGUGCCUUGUUGGGGCGAAACCCUGGAUUGUCGGAAGAUUCAAAUAACUGUAUUGACUUCAGCUUGACGCCGGAGGAGUUCGAGGCUGCAUGGGUGAUACGUCCAUUUUGCAUCAUGCUUUUAUAUUGA
rnacentral:rRNA from 1 species